GGGCUUGGCGGUGUUUUAGACCUCUCAGGGGAACCUGUCUCGUAAUCGACAAUCCACGAUAAACCUAACCUUUAAUGGCAAUUCAGCCUGUAUACCGUCGUCGUCAGGUAACUUCUUAAAAUAUAGUAGUUAGCUUGAGAAUUAUAUUAAUUAAAACGUCAGAUCAAGGUGCAGCCAAUGAAGAGGUGCGGAUGGGUUACAAUUAUAUAUUUGUAAAUACGGAAAAACGUUUGAAAUGAAGUGUCUUAAAGGAGGACUUGAAAGUAAUUUUAUCUAUAUAAAUAGAAUGAAUAGGGCUCUGAAACGUGCACACAUCGCCCGUCGCUCUCGUUGAAAAAUGAGAUAAGUCGUAACACAGUAGGGGUAAUGGAAAUUGUUCCUAGGC
rnacentral:rRNA from 2 species